rnacentral:rRNA from 1 species
UACAGAGGUCUCAAGCGUUGUUCGGAUUCACUGGGCAUAAAGGGCGCGUAGGCGGUUUCGUAAGCGGCAUGUGAAAGCCCCCGGCUCAACCGGGGAAGUGCGUGCCGGACUGCGGAGCUAGAGGGUGGUAGGGGGGACUGGAACUCUCGGUGGAGCGGUGAAAUGCGUAGAUAUCGAGAGGAACACCGGUGGCGAAGGCGAGUCCCUGGUCCACUUCUGACGCUGAGGCGCGAAAGCGUGGGUAGCAAACAGG